rnacentral:rRNA from 1 species
GGGUCAGUAGGUUGGUCGUGCCACCGGUACGUACUGGUCUCACUGAUUCCUCCUUCCUGAAGAACCGUGAUGCCAUUAAUUUGGUGUCGCGGGGAAACAGGACUGUUACUUUGAAAAAAUUAGAGUGUUUAAAGCAGGCGAUCGCUUGAAUACAUUAGCAUGGAAUAAUGAAAUAGGACGUUCGAUCCUAUUUUGUUGGUUUCUAGAGUCGCCGUA